rnacentral:lncRNA from 1 species
UGAGAUCGGUUGAUGAUGCCGAUGAUCAUCAGAAUGGACCCCACCACUCCUCUGAAUUGAUUAUCAAAUGGAGGUUGUAGCUGUGGACUGAUGGUGUUUACCGCACUUGAUUGGGACUCUAGAGAAUAUAUUUGGUAUAAAUGAAAGGGUAAGGAUGACAGUGUUGCUUUCCUUUUCAUUGAUUAGAGCAAGUCCCCUACUCCAUCCACUUUGAACAAAAUCAUGCUCAGAUCCACCUACCAAAUGCUAUACAUAUUGUGUGCAUA